rnacentral:rRNA from 1 species
CAGUCGCCGCGGUAAGACGAACCGUGCGAACGUUAUUCGGAAUUACUGGGCUUAAAGCGCGUGUAGGCGGAUCGCCACGUCGGUCGCUGAAAUCCCCCGGCUCAACCGGGGAACGGGCGCCGAUACGGGCGGUCUCGAGGGGGGUAGGGGGGACUGGAACUUCCGGUGGAGCGGUGAAAUGCGUUGAGAUCGGAAGGAACGCCCGUGGCGAAAGCGAGUCCCUGGACCCUUUCUGACGCUGAGACGCGAAAGCCAGGGGAGCGAACGGGAUUAGAUACCCCAGUAGUCCCUGUCUCUUAUA